rnacentral:rRNA from 1 species
CUGAACCAGCCAAGUAGCGUGAAGGAUGACUGCCCUAUGGGUUGUAAACUUCUUUUAUAAAGGAAUAAAGUCGGGUAUGGAUACCCGUUUGCAUGUACUUUAUGAAUAAGGAUCGGCUAACUCCGUGCCAGCAGCCGCGGUAAUACGGAGGAUCCGAGCGUUAUCCGGAUUUAUUGGGUUUAAGGGAGCGUAGAUGGAUGUUUAAGUCAGUUGUGAAAGUUUGCGG